GAGGGAAUCAAACUGAUUCUAAGCCAAAGGCCAGGUGGAACAAUUCUGUCUUACAGGCCUUGCGGAAAGAAAUCAGAUCCUGCAGGGCCCUGGUCUCAUGAGGCAGAGCGUUCCACCAGGCCGGAGCCAGUGUUGAAAAGGCCCUGGCUCUGGUUGAAGCUAAUCUAACUUCCUUAGGGCCCGGGACCACUAGGGUGUUGCUAUUUAUGGACCUUGAGGCUCUCCGUGCGGCAUACCGGGUGAGGUGGUCCCAUAGGUACGAGGGUCCUAGGCCAUGAAGGGCUUUAAAGGUAGACAAAACCUGGCUUAGAACUUCAUCACUUCAAAAGUCUUUCCACGUAAUUGCCCUCUGAGGCAGAUAUAAAUGUUAUAAAGUACUUCACAAGUUAUGGUUCCUACAUCUUUUAAGACUAUGACACAAUGAACAUCAAUGUUUGUAUUUGCCAUGCAGAGAGACACAUUAUAUUGACCUUAAUUUUCAUCUGCCGCCAAGUCCUGCUUCCAUUUCAAAGCAGAUCAUUGUAGUUUACACUUGUGAGCAAAUUACCAAUAACAGGUGGUGGUUGUUUUUUAAAAAAGAAUUAUACAGAAAGGCUAGAAGUCAUUGAGAAUUAAUAAUUAUUACUGUUACUACUCAGUUGUGCUUUUGUGCAUCUCCUUCACACUUUGUUUACUUUCAGCUUUCUUUAUUAUCAACUAGUUCAGGUUUUAAAUGGUGAGAUAUGAACCUCAGAGUUCUUAUUCUGCGUGGCAACCAAAGUCAUUUAAUUAAUAAAUCAAAACUUUAACCUCGAUCUUGAGUUUUGCUGCAGUUAUAGCUUUUUGUUAUCAGGAAACUUCAAAAGGCCUGCAGUGCCGUAAAACAUUGCUAAGCUGUGUGUUUUAUUUUGUUUUUUAAUAUCUAUCUAUAUGUAUAUAUUUUAAAGGAGCCAUGAUAAAUAAGCCCAUGUCAUGCAUUAAAAGAAGAAGAAGCCUUGUUAUCCUCAGGGAUUGCUUUAUUUUUCUAGUUAUUUCCUUGUGUGUGUGUGUGUGUGUGUGUGUGUGUGAAGCACCAUAUUUGUGCAGGUGCGUGAAGUGCAAUUUAGCGCUUCUGUGCAUGCACGAGCGGCGAAACCCGGAAGUAACCCUUUCUGGUACUUCCGGGUCACCGCGGGAUGCAACCCGAAAAAGCAUAACAUGAUGCAAAUGUAACAUGAGGUAUGACUGUAUAUUCUUCAUAUUUUAAACUUUUGGUUUAUGAAAAUGCAUAUAACAAUCCCAUUAUACCUCCUCAUAUUUUUAUCCCACUGUUCAGCCAUAUAUCGUCACCAAAGAAUGGUUCGCAUCAAUUAAAAGAGAGAGGGCGGAGCAGCUAUACAAGGAAAGGGGAAUGGAGUCGCUGUUAAAGAAGAGAGACCCAGUGGGGAACACUGGAACGAAGUGGUGAGUUGUAAAUGAGCAUCUAUAGCCACCUGGAACCAAGUAGGUAUUCUCAUACUUGUACAAAGGUGCUGCAGCUGACUUGGCAGACCUUGCUCCUCUGACGGGCAGCAGAAGAGAUCAGAUAAGACCUCCUCCUCUCACUUCUAUAGUCUACAGCAACUCCUUUGGUCAUUUGCCAUGCAGUGCCACUUUACAUUGCAGAAGAUGUUAAGAUGUGUUUGGAGUGAAUGCCACACCUGUAGUGCCUCUCACCUUUGCCAUAUGUAGCCUGGAAGGAUGUCAAUGCAUUGGCACUACCUUGGAGAUGUGCACAUUCCGGGAGAAGAUCACAGGAGGCAAACAAAGGUAAAAGGUAAAAAAGGUAAAGGACCCCUGGAUGGUUAAGUCCAGUCAAAGGCGACUAUGGGGUUGCAGUGUUCAUUUCGCUUUCAGGCCGAGGGAGCCGGCGUUUGUCCACAGACAGCUUUCCGGGUCAUGUGGCCAGCAUGACUUAACCGCUUCUGGCACAACGGAACACCGUGGCGGAAACCAGAGCACUGCAUGGAAACGCUGUUUACCUUCCUGCCGCAGCAGUACCUAUUUAUCUACUUGCACUGGCGUGCUUUCGAACUGCCUUUAAACUACCUUUAAAGCACUAUGAUACCACUUUGAACGGUCAUGGCUCCCCCCUGCCCUCCCAAAUGGGAGCUGUAGUGUGUUAGGGGUGUUGAGAGUUAUUAGGAGGCACCUAUUCCCCUCACAGAACUACAAUUCCCAAGGUUCCCUGUUAAACCACCCUGGGACUUCUGCUGGUAGCUCUGUACAGUGGUACCUCGGGUUAAGUACUUAAUUCGUUCCGGAGGUCCGUACUUAACCUGAAACUGUUCUUAACCUGAAGCACUACUUUAGCUAAUGGGGCCUCCUGCUGCCGCCGCACUGCCGGAGCACGAUUUCUGUUCUCAUCCUGAAGCAAAGUUCUUAACCUGAAGCACUGUUUCUGGGUUAGCGGAGUCUGUAACCUGAAGCGUCUGUAACCUGAAGCGUAUGUAACCUGAGGUACCACUGUACUCCUUUCAUUGGUGCUGCUCUGCACCCUCACUGAAUGUUUCCGCCUAGCUGUAAUACAACGCUGAACUAUGAUAAUGCUUCUUGUUUGUCUGGAAUGGAGAAUACAGAGAGGUGCAUGAAUGUGUGUAGAAACUACCCCACUGUACAAAGGUUAAUUCGUAUUUGUUGCUCUGCUCCUGCCUACGGCUUGCAAGAAAGUUGCUCGGAAGGGGCUCCCAGGGUGAAAAUGGUUCCCCAUCCCCGAUGUAAAGUUAAAAAAAGAGCAAAAUUGGGCAGGCGGAAAUCGGCCUUAUCUUUACCUUUCUGGCACGUGAGCGGAAAGAAAAGAAAAACACAUGCUAGGCCACCCCAGCCACAACAGUUGCCCUCUUUAUGGUGGCUUUUCCUGGCCUUGCAGGACUGUGUGGGUGCAAUGAUGCUCUAGGGUUAAUGCACAAUCCCAUGCCUUAACUCUGCAGAGGUCCAACCAUUGCGUCCAAUCCUAAAAUAGUUAAUGCGGCAGCAAUGUCUAGGUUUUUCUUUUAAAAAAACACUAUUAACUAUAUUUUGAUGAUUAUAUAACAUCUCCUGUUUUUAAAGUCUACUUUAUUGCUAUUUUUCAUAAAUAUCUCAUGCCCUUUUAUGCAAACCGCAUAGAUUUUUAAAAGUUAAAAAAACCAGCAAAGGAAUACGUAUACAAACAUUUACCCCCAAAAUGGCAGCCUGUGUUCACUCACGCCGAGUAGAACCAGUGCUUUUCUUCUAGGAAAACAAAAUAAAAGGUUCCAGUACUGUGCACCCUUCAAUACCCCCAGAAAAAAAAAUACUGAGUAGAACUGAUUUGUAGAAAGGAGCUUUCAUGAUUUGAAAACAGAGACAGUGUGUGUACUUUUGUAACCCAAGAAAAUCUUUAAUAAUUUUUUUUUAAAGUACAUUUUAAUUAGAAGCACAAGAAGGCAUUCAGAUUUGAUAAGAUUUCUCUGGUGAAAACCACAAUGUAAGGAAUUAUUAAGGGAAACGGACAUUUGUCUUGGAUUCCCCCAGUUCUGAAAAGCGCAAGUUAUUUCAGGUCAGCAUAGAUGUAUGCUUUUAAUCAGAGAACUUUGGCUCCUUUUCCUGGCACUGAGCAAGGAAACACACUAUAAUAAUCCCAACAGCAUAGGCAGUGGAAUGGAUCAAUGCAUUGGUUAGGAUAAUAACUUAAGAGCACUUGUGCCUUAUAUGAGGCCGCAAGCUUCUUCCUGCUCUCCGUGCUUCCAAUUAGAAUUUAGGCCCUCAUUCCGGCUGGAUACAGCGGCAAGGCUUGCAGACACCUAGGGCUAAAUAAGCCAACCAGCAGAGGCCAAGAGGGUUGUCAAAGUAGGGUACAUUUAAUAUAUUGAGCUGACAGAGAGCAACCUCAUUAUUGCUGAAACGUGCUCUCUUCCUGCUAACCUCUUUGAUCCUCUGUCUCCCGUGCCUUUUCAAACCCCCUCCCCACAGCUCAAUAAGGAUUAUUCUCCCUUGCACACUCAUAAGGGUUUUUAAAGCCUGGGUAGUUGCAUUUUAAGAGCUCUACCUUAGUCAUAAUAAUCCCCCGGUGCUCAACGAGAUGCUGGAAAGGCGGAUGAGUUGUUUAUUCAUAAAGCUCCACAGCUCCCACCCACAGGGCUUUCAACCGGGUUUCUGGCGGGAGCAAGAAACCUAGUUGGCUUAAUGAGAAAUAACUGCAUAGCCCUCACUAUGCAAAUAUCUACAUUCUGACUGGCUGAAAUAAAGAGGCGGGACCAUGCAAGGGGCAGGAAGUGAGGUUCUCCAUUGCAAACCUUUUGCUAUGCAACGGUCUUUCUUUUCCUCAUUUAACUUGGAAUGGCCAAGUCUGUCACUUUUGGAUUCCCUUCAUUUCUCUGUUUCCCAAUCUUUAAUUCAGUCCAUAUUUCCAAAUCAGCUUGCGAUCCCCCACCCUGCACCAAAUCCUUGUAAAAAUCAUCAGCAUUUUCCUGCACAUCUCUUCUCAUAUACACAGGAUGUCAUUUUAGCCUAAUAUACACAUUUCCGCCAGCAAGCUCCCCUAAUGUAAUGCCCGUUGUUGUAUUUUAAUUAUUAAUGGCAUUUUCAUCAAUGCAUCCAUUCAUUUCAAAAUGCACAUUUCCCCCAAAGUUAGGUAUAUAGUGGUACCUCGGGUUAAGUACUUAAUUCGUUCUGGAGGUCCACUCUUAAGCUGAAACUGUUCUUAACCUGAAGCACCACUUUAGCUAAUGCAGCCUCCUGCUGCCACUGCUCAAUUUCUGUCCUCAUCCUGAGGUAAAGUUCUUAACCCGAGGUAAUAUUUCUGGGUUAGCGGAGUUUGUAACCUAAAGUGUAUGUAAUUUGAAGUGUAUGUAACCCGAGGUACCACUGUAUAUCUUUGGCUGGACAACUGCACUGCAAAAUUUGGAGAAGUGCACAUUUUGGUUUUUUUUAAUGAUAUUUAUUGAGAAUUUUAAAGUUACAAAGAAAAAAGAAGGAAAAAACAAGAGAAAGAGAAAAAGAAAGAAAAAAGUAGAUAAAAGUAACAAUUAAACAAUACAAAUCAAUAAAAAGAAAAAACAAAAAAACAAAACACACAAUGCAUCACAAUCAAAAAGCAAAAAUAAACAAAAAAUUUAAAAACAAAUCCAAUAUUCCCAAAUCCUUAACUUUCAUUAACUUAUUUCAUCGACCUCCUCACACCUCCCUUUUUGUAUUCUAGUUGUUAAUUAUCUCAGCAAAUCCUUUCCAUCUUUCACAAUAUUCUGUCAUUAAAUUACCUUAAUCUAUUUUAACCUUAUCUUACCAUAAAAAACCCUAAAACUUAAAACUUAAAUCUUAUUUAUACCAAAUUCUUUUAACCAUAACAUAUUCUUACAUAAUUCUUUUUAACAUUUCUGCUAAAGCCAAAUAAUUUCAUUCCAACAUUUUUCUAAUACUCAUUAAUUUUACGAUACUUUUCUAAAUAAAUUUUUAAAACUUUCUUCCAGUCUUCAUCCAUCAUCUCUUCUUCCUGGUCUCGGGUUUUGUCAGUCCUUUCUAUCCCAUCCAUCUAGUCCAUCAACCUGGUGACCUUAUAUCAGAGGCUCUUAAGUCUUUUCCAUGUCCCUUCCGCAGGUCUUCUUCAUGUUUAUACCUGUACUUUACUUUGUCUUCUGCUCCUUUCACUCGGGGAGACUCCAGCUUGACAAUAUUUUUGUCCCUUCUCGACAAGUCAUCCCCUUUUCCAUAGUCAACACUGAAAUCCAUGUGGUAUUUAAAGGCAUGUUUCAAGGUCCCUCCAAAGUUAGGGGCCCCCACAACUCCGAGCUCCCCCCGGCCUAAAGCCAGACUUGAAAGGUCAAAACAUCCCUGCAUAGGGGGGUCCAUCCAGCCCCCCAUCUCCAAGCCAAACAGAACUCCAUCUCUCCAAAUCUGACUUUUUCCAGGUUCAUUCGUCAAAUCCAACAACUCAUGUUCCUGCUGGGCCACAGCUCCCUCCAUCUCUGCCACCCGAGGUCCAGCAACAACCUCCUCCCUCAUCUCAUCUGUCAAAGCACAUUCCUGGAUUAAUUCCUGAGUGGGUUCUAUAUAGGUACCCACUGCCUGUCCAAAAUUUCCAAUCGCAACAGUCAUCAAAUCCAUCUUCUCAUGUAACUGUUCCAAUAAAGCACUUGUCUUGCAAAAGGCAAGCACCAGAGCCUCUGAGCACAUUCUUGUUCAAGGUCGAAGUCUGGUCCCACGAUCUUUAAUCUUUACAGCUGCAAAGCUCCCCAGUUCGACUUUAAUAACAGUUUCACAAGCUCCCUCUAGGGGAAACAAUUUCUAUUUGUAUCCAUCUUUUUUUUUAAAAAAAAAAAGCAGAUCUAGCAACAAAGUUUUCCUUUUUCAGAUACUUUGUCAAUAUUUUGUUCCUUUUAAAUGCGAAAGGGAACAAUGGAAUCAAUAUGUUUCUCUUCUUUUAACUAUCUGUCAAAAACGUUUGUCCAUAGUCAAUGAACUUCUCCAAAACGUCUGUCUUGACACCCCGUUCCCAGGUUCAAGACGGUGGAAAAUUACCUUUCUUUACUCUCUCUUCUGCAGGUUUAAACAGUCUAAAAAGGUUCCCCCCUCUUCUCCUGCUUCCAAGGGGGGUUCAGUAAUUUUAAAUGAUGAAAAUUUAGUCCUUUACAAACGACUUUCUAAACUCUAGCUUACCAUGUCUUUGCUUCAAUCUAUCUACAAAACCGGAAGGCGGACUUCCUGUUUAGACCUUCCCGCUUUCGGUGCCUAAUUAAGAAAUUUCAUAGUCCAAUUUUCCGUUCUACUCAUGGGCAGUUGUUUAAAAUCCAAUUAUCCACAGGAAAAAGUCAGCGCUCUCCGGCAACAGCAAUGCGGCUUCACUCCGUGAAAGAAGCAGUUGAUUCAAAGCACCGCGCCACUCACCCCACGUCGCUCCGGAUCCCCAAAACAGGGUUUACCCACGAGUAGGGGGGGCACAAAGGUGCCAGCCGAAUCCCACGUCCACAGGCUUCUCCCGCCUGUGGUUUUUGAUGGGUCUCCGCCUCGCCGUGGCAGUUCAGACCCUGUUUUCCACGGAGCGGAUUCCUCCCGGAGGAAAUCCGCCAUUGCCAGAGGCGCCAACCCGGAAGUUAACCCGAGGUAAUAUUUCUGGGUUAGCGGAGUUUGUAACCUAAACUGUAUGCAAUUUGAAGUGUAUGUAACCCGAGGUACCACUGUAUAUCUUUGGCUGGACAACUGCACUGCAAAAUUUGGAGAAGUGCACAUUUUGAAGUCUAGUCAUGAUUUGGCUUGUAUAGUGGUACCUCGGGUUACAUACGCUCCAGGUUACAUAUGCUUCAGGUUACAGACUCUGCUAACCCAGAAAUAGUGCUUCAGGUUAAGAACUUUGCUUCAGGAUGAGAACAGAAAUCGGGCUCCGGCGGCGCGGCGGCAGCAGGAGGCCCCAUUAGCUAAAGUGGUGCUUCAGGUUAAGAACAGUUUCAGGUUAAGAACAGACCUCCGGAACAAAUUAAGUACUUAACCCGAGGUACCACUGUAUAUUGUUUGGGGAAGAGUGAAUGAAGUAGGUUCGCAUAAAAAUGCAAAUGAAUCCGAAUUCCUGCUCCCGCCCCUACAUUUGACAUCUCAUAAUGAGGUUCAACACCCUUCCACUUUCUCUUUUGCAUUCCUUCAAACACAAACACAUGCGUUUUUCCCAGACACUCCCUCCAAAGAGCAACGGUUUAGAUAUUCGUAUUCAGAACGUUGGCAAAACAACAACAAGCGGGGAACUCAUCCAUCAAACUGAAUUAUGCACUCACCUGAUCCGGCAAGUGAGAUCUGCAUGCAAAAACAGGUUUGCAUGCCUGCAGCUGAUCCAUAUUGCAUCCAGGGCAACGAAAUGUUGCCAGAAUCAUUCAGUUCAAUUUCUCUGAGAAUGUGUGAGUGAGUGACAGAGAGAGAGAGAAAUGACUUGCACAUGACUAGGGCUUGGAUUGUGGACUCCCGUUGCUUUUCAACAUUUCAAAAAUAAUAUUAAUGCAAAGUCAUACUUUAACUUUUGUUUGAUCUGCUUUUGGUUGAGAAUUAUAACCUAGAAUAGAAUCAUAGAAUCAUAGAGUUGGAAGAGACCACAAGGGCCAUCGAGUCCAACCCCCUGCCAAGCAGGAAACACCAUCAGAGCACUCCUGACAUAUGGUUGUCAAGCCUCUGCUUAAAGACCUCCAAAGAAGGAGACUCCACCACACUCCUUGGCAGCAAAUUCCACUGUCGAACCUGAAGUCAUAAAUGAUACAUCAUUAAUUUAAAUUAUAUAAUUAUCAGCACCUUUCUGGCUACUAAAAGCUAGUCAAUGUAAGGAGGCUAUAAAUUGCCAGGCCUUGCUUAGAGAAGUCUCACUGAAAUAAAUGAGCAUGAAUAUGUUAGGGCCAUUAAUUUCAGAACGUCUAACUCUAUAAGUACAACUUAAGUUAACAGCACACUAAAUCUGGGCUUUGUCAAAUCACAAAAAUAAGGGAUGCACAUUUGUAUCUCACUGAUUACAUGGGUUUUUGGGCCCAGUUUAUACUUUCAGUGCAGCUUAGAUAACUAUAGUCCAUUUCCCCAAUUAAUUGCCAAGUUGGUUGCAUUUAAAUAGAAAGGUAUUUAAUGCAUACAAUGCCAUAAAAAGCUCAAACCUUAACAAUAAUCCAAAACACCGUGCUACACUGCAGUAAUAAAGCCAGCAGUGGUAAAACCAAGCAAGAAACUGACCAGCCAGUAAACAGAAAAGGCAUGGAGAAAAACUGUAAAACAGGCACAUUACUGGUACAUGGUUCAGCUAUUUUUUUCCAAAGCGUGUUCAGCAAUUGGGGCAGGACAACUGAGAAGGCACUUUCUCCCAGAACCGCUCAGCUCAUCUCCAAUGACAGAACAGUACCUUUAAUGAAGUUCCCAGAAAACAGGCAGAUUUUAUAACCACACUACAUAUAUAACUAAGGGGUGCAGGUGGCGCUGUAGUGUAAACCACUGAGCCUCUUGGGCUUGCCGAUCAGAAGGUUGGCGGUUCAAAUCUCCGUGAGGGGGUGAGCUCCCGUUGCUCGGUCCCUGCUGCUGCCAACCUAGCAGUUCGAAAGCACGUCAAAGUGCAAGUAGAUAAAUAGGUACCGCUCCAGCGGGAAGGUAAACGGUGUUUCCGUGCGCUGCUCUGGUUUUGCUAGAAGCAGCUUAGUCAUGUUGGCCACAUGACCCAGAAAAACUGUCUGCGGACAAACGUCAGCUCCCUCGGCCAGUAAAGCGAGAUGAGCGUCGCAACCCCAGAGUUGUUCACGACUGGACCUAAUGGUCAGGGGUCCCUUUACCUUUACAUAUAUAACUAUGUGGCACCAGUGGGCAUCAGCCCAGCACUUCUUACAGUGCAAAGCCAGGAAUUUUGGGAAUCUGGCACUGGGAUUCUUGCUAUAUUGAGGGCCUUGGCACUGGCUCAAUGAUGCCACCCUUCCGAGAGAACUUACAAGCAUAUAACUAAUCGCCCCUAACGUUGAAUGGCCAUUUUUGCACUUGACUGAGUUGUGAACUAUUACACCACCAGCAACCAUAGUCAGUUUAAAUGAUGCCACCUCUCUAUGUGAACAUCCCCCCUCGAGCAUGUAUAACCUUAUUGCCACUGAAUCUCAACAGCCAUUCUGCCAAUCAAACACUGACGAAAGGCUUUGACCGAAAGUAGUAAAACACCUGUUUGAAGAUAAUCUUCGGGAAAGAUUAGAUAAUCUUCAGGGGAGAAAUUGCACCAGUUAGCCUGCUAUUCAUUCAAACUCAACUGGCUUUACAGCAAAAGCAGUGAUUCAGCGAUACAUUCCCCCCCCCCUUCACGAAAGGUUCUUACUCCUGGCAAAGUCCUAGAUGCACAUGGUCAAUUGCACAUCAGAUUUAGGUAGCUUGUGCAUGAUUUUCUCUGCUGGAUACAUAAAUCGCUUUCCAGGAGAUAAAAAUCAGGAAGGGAUUAGCCAGGGAUGAAUAAGUGAUAUGAACACACACACACACACACACACCUUCUGAAUUUCUAUGAGAAGCUCGAUAUAUACACCCCUUCUCACAUUACAAAACAUUUGAUGGAACUCGCUACUACGUGUGUGUGUGCGUGUACAAUUAAAAAUCAGGAAGGUUUGCUCCUGAGAAGGGAAGCUGACAUGAUCUAUUGAUCAUGAGAACUGCUCUCUAGUCAAGUAUCCACUUCUGUGGCAAUGGAUGUGCUUCUGAGACAAGGGCGAACAAUUCCCUCUAAGAGCAUUGCUUGUGUUCGAGACAAAACAAUACCUGUAACGUAUCACUGAGGACCAUUAAUGUAACAAAGUACCUGGUAACAUUUCACCAGAGGAUAACGGGAGAUUCCUGAGAGGAGCCGCCAUGGAACGAAGGCAACUUUUCAAAUCUAUUUAUCAACCACUCAAUGUUCUGGUCUUUUAAACUCAAGGAAAAACAAAUGGAAUACAGGAAACAAUGACAGGCAAUCAAUAGACAAAGACAAAUAAAUAGAGCUGAACGCAGACGUCUGAUGCUGGUGCUGUGUGGCGCAUAAAAGCAGCCCGGAACAAUUUGAAACCGAAUCAAGAACUAAGACCAUUUGGCCCAAGACAGUUUGCUUCCAGACAAGCCUAUUACAUGUGUAGAAGCCAACUCAACUUGCAGCUGAUGGUAACUUCAGCUAAGAGGGACAGGGACAGAUCAGGCAGAGGUAAAUGGCCUGGUGGCUCAGGCGAAAGGCUGGAGGGGCUAUCGCUGUUCCCUCAACCUUACAACCCAGCAAGCCCAAUGGUAGGGCUGGCCCUGUUGCAAACUAAGCCUAUGAAGUUUAUGAAAGUCAUCUCUUUCUUCCUUGCUGCUCAUUACGCCUAGAAGUGUCACCCAGGAAAUGUACCUCUCGUUUCCUGCAAAUCCUUCCUCAAAGCCCAUGUUUUCCAUGAAGCCUUUAUCCCAGCUCCUUACUCCCCGUUAGGAUUGGGACGAUCGGUAUAUUUCCAGUCCAUGAUAUAGCUUCACAUGCACUUAUUCAUAAGUCUGUUCCACCCAUGGGCUGUGAAUCCUGGAAGAUCUGCUGCCUGCUUUUCAGGUUUUUUCCCACCUCGCCUGGGAGGAUUGACUCCAGCUACAAAAAGGCUGGGGAAGAGGGUUGCUGUUGCUAUUUUGCAACUUUAUUUUAGAUCUUCUUGCAAUUUAUGUGGAAAUUGUUCAGUUUGGUUGUGCAUUUUAAAAUUGUUUUAGUUAUUGUUUAUGACUACUUUUGUUAUGCAUUUUUUUUUCACGUUCUAAGCCACAUUGAGCAUGAUUUGAACUGUGGAAAGGCAGCACACACUCACCACCUCUUCCUUCUCCUGCUGAACUAAAUGAACUGCAGAAAUGCUGCCCUGUACUCCCAACAAAUUAGGAGCCCCUUUUAGAAGUUUAGGAGGGUGUUCUAAAUACUCAGGGAACACAUAUAUCUUAGCACCUGACUUGAUAGGUGUGUAUAUGUUAAGGGGAAUGAGCUAAGCUGAGUAGUUAAUAAGCAUAACAAUGAGCCAGACCUCACAGAGAAUGUGCACACAAUUCAUCAACGAAGAGAGAACUGUGCACAUUGCACAGGCGACAUGCAUUAUCUUCAGCAGGCCUUGGAGAAUGUUCACAUUUAGGUGGAAUUUUGUACUGGUCAUUAUGCAUAAUCCCCCUUAGGUCUUGGGGAAUGUGCACAUCUUGGCUGUGUUUUGUAAAUUCUACAUAAUCUCCAAAACGCCUUGGGGGUGUACAUUUUGUGCAUUCUCUAGGCAAUAUGCACAUUCUCCAGUCAGUAUGUGUUGUCUCCAAGAAACAUGCCUUUUUUUCUUAUAUGUGGUUGAGAAGUGUGUGAUCUGGACCCCCUGGGCUGCUUCUGACCCACAGCCUAAUCUUACAAGGGCUGCAACAUACCCUGCACAAGGGGGGAGUAUAAGAUAUAAAACAUACAAUUUGGGCAGUCUCAUAGCGAGAUGUUGAAAUUGUAGCAAAGUCGUAGACAUCAACACCAAAACAUUCAAACACAGGAAAGAGAGUUAUUUCACACAGAAUAUUUUUCUGUUUUGUUUUAACUUACAUUGUGUUUGUUCUAGUGUAGUCCAAAUUUUUGCUCGUUCUAAUCUUUACGGCUUUCCCAUUUUAUACUUAAUGUAACAUCAGUCAAUGUCAGUUGUUGGGCAUUAUAAAAAAGACUGCUAAUAAAUAAAUAAAGCAACCAAUCCUAAUCCGGUAAUGCAGCUGUCAUCACUGCUAACGGAAUUUAUCAAACGCAGAUUCAAGGACUUUUAAAUGAUGAAGACAGAAGCCAACAUAUUUUAGACCAGUCCUGAGGCUGCUCUGCUAUUAAAGGGGAAGAAUUGAGUCCAACAGAGACCAAAUUUAAGCUAGGGGAGGCUGGCAGGGUGCCAUUACAUUGCUAUUAAUCCCACUCAAAUGAACUGAAAAUGUACUGAAUGGUACCUGAUGAUCUAGUGUGAGCAGAUAUUAGUGCUAGGUUAGGAAUGCUACUCAGGCCCACUAAAGAUAUUGGAACUGUAUGCUCUGUGCAGCAGCGCUAAGACAAUUACUCUAAAACAGAGAGGGAAAACUUGAAAGAAAUUUGGUAUUUGUGUUUUCUCUUUUUUCUUUUCUUGCUGUAUCAAUUAAAAAGGAAAAAAGAAAGUCAUACCAAGCAGCAAAUAACACAAAAUAUUAAACUCUAGGGAAAGUAAGAGAGCCGUAUUAAAUCACAGCACAAUACAGGAUUAAAAGUAUCAGAUUUUAAAAGUCGCUGAAGAUAAAAAAAGUCUAGCACCAAAAAGACAUUGAAACAGACAACAGACAAGCCUCUCUGGGCAGGAUAUGCCAUAAACAAGGGGCCACUGCUGAUAAGGCCCUGUUGUUGUUUUUUUUGCAGGUACAAGGUAUGCAAUAUCAAACCUUACGGAGCACUCCGGUAAGGCUUCCACUGAUGAUCUCAGGGCACCCACAAGGACAUGCAACAAGAGGCAAUCCUUCAGAUACCAUGGUCCCUAGCCAUGACUCUGAUGCUGAUCUAUCUAAUCUUCUAAUCUAAUCUAACCCAUCUAAUCUUAGAGCAAUCUUUUACAUUGUUUUUAGCUCUACAUUUAAUGGUAUACUUAACGUAUUUUACUGUGUUUUAUGUGCUGUGUUUUCUUCUUAUCUUCUCUACCG